rnacentral:rRNA from 1 species
UACGUAGGGGGCAAGCGUUGUCCGGAAUUACUGGGUGUAAAGGGAGCGCAGGCGGGAAGCCAAGUCAGCUGUGAAAACUACGGGCUUAACUUGUAGACUGCAGUUGAAACUGGUUUUCUUGAGUGAAGUAGAGGUUGGCGGAAUUCCGAGUGUAGCGGUGAAAUGCGUAGAUAUUCGGAGGAACACCGGUGGCGAAGGCGGCCAACUGGGCUUUAACUGACGCUGAGGCUCGAAAGUGUGGGGAGCAAACAGG